GAUGACCGCUGGCGGCGUGCUUAACACAUGCAAGUCGAACGGGAAAUACUUUAUUGAAACUUCGGUGGAUUUAAUUUAUUUCUAGUGGCGGACGGGUGAGUAACGCGUGGGUAACCUGCCUUAUACUGGGGGAUAACAGCCAGAAAUGACUGCUAAUACCGCAUAAGCGCACAGAACCGCAUGGUUCGGUGUGAAAAACUCCGGUGGUAUAAGAUGGACCCGCGUUGGAUUAGCUAGUUGGCAGGGCAGCGGCCUACCAAGGCGACGAUCCAUAGCCGGCCUGAGAGGGUGAACGGCCACAUUGGGACUGAGACACGGCCCAGACUCCUACGGGAGGCAGCAGUGGGGAAUAUUGCACAAUGGGGGAAACCCUGAUGCAGCGACGCCGCGUGAAGGAAGAAGUAUCUCGGUAUGUAAACUUCUAUCAGCAGGGAAGAUAAUGACGGUACCUGACUAAGAAGCCCCGGCUAACUACGUGCCAGCAGCCGCGGUAAUACGUAGGGGGCAAGCGUUAUCCGGAUUUACUGGGUGUAAAGGGAGCGUAGACGGCGCAGCAAGUCUGAUGUGAAAGGCAGGGGCUUAACCCCUGGACUGCAUUGGAAACUGCUGUGCUUGAGUGCCGGAGGGGUAAGCGGAAUUCCUAGUGUAGCGGUGAAAUGCGUAGAUAUUAGGAGGAACACCAGUGGCGAAGGCGGCUUACUGGACGGUAACUGACGUUGAGGCUCG
rnacentral:rRNA from 1 species